rnacentral:rRNA from 1 species
GGAUGCCUUACACAUGCAGUCGAACGGCAGCACGGACUUCGCUCUGGUGGCCAGCGGCGGACGGGUGAGUAAUGUAUCGGAACGUGCCUGGUAGCGGGGGAUAACUACCCGAAGGCGUAGCUAAUACCGCAUACGCCCUACGGGGGAAAGCGGGGGAUCGCCAGACCUUGCACUAUUGGAGCGGCCGAUAUCGGAUUAGCUAGUUGGUGGGGUAACGGCUCACCAAGGCGACGAUCCGUACCUGGUUUGAGAGGACGACCAGCCACACUGGGACUGAGACACGGCCCAGACUCCUACGGGAGGCAGCAGUGGGGAAUUUUGGACAAUGGGGGAAACCCUGAUCCAGCCAUCCCGCGUGUGCGAUGAAGGCCUUCGGGUUGUAAAGCACUUUUGGUAGGAAGGAAACGUCGUGGGUUAAUACCUCGCGAAACUGACGGUACCUGCAGAAUAAGCACCGGCUAACUACGUGCCAGCAGCCGCGGUAAUACGUAGGGUGCAAGCGUUAAUCGGAAUUACUGGGCGUAAAGCGUGCGCAGGCGGUUCGGAAAGAUAGAUGUGAAAUCCCAGAGCUUAACUUUGGAACUGCAUUUUUAACUACCUGGCUAGAGUGUGUCAGAGGGAGGUGGAAUUCCUCGUGUAUCAGUGAAAUGCGUAGAUAUGCGGAGGAACACCGAUGGCGAAGGCAGCCUCCUGGGAUAACACUGACGCUCAUGCACGAAAGCGUGGGGAGCAAACAGGAUUAAAUACCCUGGUAGUCCACGCCCUAAACGAUGUCAGACUAACUGUUGGGGACCUUCGGGCCUUGGUAGCGCAGCUAACGCGUGAAGUUGACCCCCUGGGGGAGUACAGUCGCAAGAGUAAAACUCACAAGUAAUUGACGGGGACCCGCACAAGCGGUGGAUGAUGUGGAUUAAUUCGAUGCAACGCGAAAAACCUUACCUACCCUUGACAUGUCUGGAAUGCCGAAGAGAUUUGGCAGUGCUCGCAAGAGAACCGGAACACAGGUGCUGCAUGGCUGUCGUCAGCUCGUGUCGUGAGAUGUUGGGUUAAGUCCCGCAACGAGCGCAACCCUUGUCAUUAGUUGCUACGAAAGGGCACUCUAAUGAGACUGCCGGUGACAAACCGGAGGAAGGUGGGGAUGACGUCAAGUCCUCAUGGCCCUUAUGGGUAGGGCUUCACACGUCAUACAAUGGUCGGGACAGAGGGUCGCCAACCCGCGAGGGGGAGCCAAUCCCAGAAACCCGAUCGUAGUCCGGAUCGCAGUCUGCAACUCGACUGCGUGAAGUCGGAAUCGCUAGUAAUCGCGGAUCAGCAUGUCGCGGUGAAUACGUUCCCGGGUCUUGUACACACCGCCCGUCACACCAUGGGAGUGGGUUUUACCAGAAGUAGUUAGCCUAACCGCAAGGGGGGCGAUUACCACGGUAGGAUUCAUGACUGGGGUG